rnacentral:rRNA from 1 species
CCGGCACGGGUGGAGUAACGCGUAUGCAACUUGCCUAUCAGAGGGGGAUAACCCGGCGAAAGUCGGACUAAUACCGCAUGAAGCAGGGAUCCCGCAUGGGAAUAUUUGCUAAAGAUUCAUCGCUGAUAGAUAGGCAUGCGUUCCAUUAGGCAGUUGGCGGGGUAACGGCCCACCAAACCGACGAUGGAUAGGGGUUCUGAGAGGAAGGUCCCCCACAUUGGAACUGAGACACGGUCCAA